UACGUAGGGACCGAGCGUUGUCCGGAAUCAUUGGGCGUAAAGAGCGUGUAGGCGGCCACUUAAGUCCUGCGUGAAAUCUUGCGGCUCAACCGCAAGCGGUCGUGGGAAACUGGGUGGCUAGAGUGCGGGAGAGGAGAGUGGAAUUCCUGGUGUAGCGGUGAAAUGCGCAGAUAUCAGGAAGAACACCCGUGGCGAAGGCGGCUCUCUGGGACGUGACUGACGCUGAGACGCGAAAGCGUGGGGAGCGAACAGG
rnacentral:rRNA from 1 species